CAAAUGCGAUAAAUAGUGCGAACUGCAGAUAUUCUGAGCACUAAGAUUUCGAAUGCACAUUGCGCCAUUGGGCUUCUGUCCUUUGGUACAUCUGGUUCAGGGUCGUAUAUACACAAAACACAUUGUUGUCUUGCAUUAACGGAUAAAUCGCGGGUGGAUAUUCUCACGCGUUUUACUGCUAUGCUGCCUGCAUGUGGUUGUUUGCUAUUUUGUUGCUCUUGUCUUGUUGUAGCUUCGAAAUCAGUAGCAAUCAUCAUUGCGCCAAAAGGCAUCCAAUCUAUUCGACCUGAACUCAGUUGUGACUACCCGCUGAACUUAA
rnacentral:misc_RNA from 1 species